AUCUAGAUAGUUUAUGUAAAAUUUUGAUUUGUGGUGUCAAGGAAGAUUAGUUAUCUCUAGAUA
rnacentral:tRNA from 1 species